UUGAACGCUGGCGGCAGGCCUAACACAUGCACGUCGAGCGGAUGAAGGGAGCUUGCUCCUGGAUUCAGCGGCGGACGGGUGAGUAAUGCCUAGGAAUCUGCCUGGUAGUGGGGGAUAACGUCCGGAAACGGGCGCUAAUACCGCAUACGUCCUGAGGGAGAAAGUGGGGGAUCUUCGGACCUCACGCUAUCAGAUGAGCCUAGGUCGGAUUAGCUAGUUGGUGGGGUAAAGGCCUACCAAGGCGACGAUCCGUAGCUGGUCUGAGAGGAUGAUCAGUCACACUGGAACUGAGACACGGUCCAGACUCCUACGGGAGGCAGCAGUGGGGAAUAUUGGACAAUGGGCGAAAGCCUGAUCCAGCCAUGCCGCGUGUGUGAAGAAGGUCUUCGGAUUGUAAAGCACUUUAAGUUGGGAGGAAGGGCAGUAAGUUAAUACCUUGCUGUUUUGACGUUACCAACAGAAUAAGCACCGGCUAACUUCGUG
rnacentral:rRNA from 1 species